AGUCGAGCGGAGAUGAGGUGCUUGCACCUUAUCUUAGCGGCGGACGGGUGAGUAAUGCUUAGGAAUCUGCCUAUUAGUGGGGGACAACAUUCCGAAAGGAAUGCUAAUACCGCAUACGUCCUACGGGAGAAAGCAGGGGAUCUUCGGACCUUGCGCUAAUAGAUGAGCCUAAGUCGGAUUAGCUAGUUGGUGGGGUAAAGGCCUACCAAGGCGACGAUCUGUAGCGGGUCUGAGAGGAUGAUCCGCCACACUGGGACUGAGACACGGCCCAGACUCCUACGGGAGGCAGCAGUGGGGAAUAUUGGACAAUGGGGGGAACCCUGAUCCAGCCAUGCCGCGUGUGUGAAGAAGGCCUUAUGGUUGUAAAGCACUUUAAGCGAGGAGGAGGCUACUGGGACUAAUACUCUUGGAUAGCGGACGUUACUCGCAGAAUAAGCACCGGCUAACUCUGUGCCAGCAGCCGCGGUAAUACAGAGGGUGCGAGCGUUAAUCGGAUUUACUGGGCGUAAAGCGUGCGUAGGCGGCUUUUUAAGUCGGAUGUGAAAUCCCCGAGCUUAACUUGGGAAUUGCAUUCGAUACUGGGAAGCUAGAGUAUGGGAGAGGAUGGUAGAAUUCCAGGUGUAGCGGUGAAAUGCGUAGAGAUCUGGAGGAAUACCGAUGGCGAAGGCAGCCAUCUGGCCUAAUACUGACGCUGAGGUACGAAAGCAUGGGGAGCAAACAGGAUUAGAUACCCUGGUAGUCCAUGCCGUAAACGAUGUCUACUAGCCGUUGGGGCCUUUGAGGCUUUAGUGGCGCAGCUAACGCGAUAAGUAGACCGCCUGGGGAGUACGGUCGCAAGACUAAAACUCAAAUGAAUUGACGGGGGCCCGCACAAGCGGUGGAGCAUGUGGU
rnacentral:rRNA from 1 species